UGCGUAGGCGGUUCGUCGCGUCCGGUGUGAAAGUCCAUCGCUUAACGGUGGAUCUGCGCCGGGUACGGGCGGGCUGGAGUGCGGUAGGGGAGACUGGAAUUCCCGGUGUAACGGUGGAAUGUGUAGAUAUCGGGAAGAACACCAAUGGCGAAGGCAGGUCUCUGGGCCGUUACUGACGCUGAGGAGCGAAAGCGUGGGGAGCGAACA
rnacentral:rRNA from 1 species